rnacentral:rRNA from 1 species
GUCGAGGAUAUUUAGCAAUGCCCGAAAGGGUGACUAUGCGACGCCGCGUGUGCGAUGAAGGUCUUCGGAUUGUAAAGCACUGUCAGCUGGGAGGAAUCUCGGGGGCUUUAACAAAGGCUCCGGGUGACAGUACCGGCAGAGGAAGCCACGGCUAACUCCGUGCCAGCAGCCGCGGUAAUACGGAGGUGGCAGGCGUUACUCGGAUUGAUUGGGUGUAAAGGGUGCGUAGGUGGUGAAUUAAGUCGAAUGUGAAAUCCCUUGGCUUAACCAAGGAAUUGCAUUCGAAACUGAUUUGCUUGAGGGACGGAGAGGAAAGCGGAAUUCCCGGUGUAACAGUGAAAUGUGUAGAUAUCGGGAGGAACACCAGUGGCGAAGGCGGCUUUCUGGACGUCACCUGACACUGAGGCACGAGAGCAUGGGGAGCAAACAGGAUUAGAAACCCUUGUAGUCC